rnacentral:rRNA from 1 species
UACGUAGGGGGCGAGCGUUGUCCGGAUUUAUUGGGCGUAAAACGCUUGUAGGCGGUCACGCAAAGUCGGACGUGAAAUCUCCCGGCUCAACUGGGAGGGGUCAUUCGAUACUGGCGGACUCGAGGCAGGUAGGGGGAAGCGGAAUUCCCGGUGUAGUGGUGGAAUGCGUAGAUAUCGGGAGGAACACCAGAGGCGAAGGCGGCUUCCUGGACCUGUUCUGACGCUGAGGAGCGAAAGCGUGGGGAGCGAUCCGG